ACAGGUGAUCAAAGUAGUAUUCAUGCAUAAUUUUCUCGGGCCUUUAUAAUCAAAAUCGCGCGUCCAGCUUAUCAUAUCAACUAGAACUGCACAUAAUCACUCAUCACUCGGAUCGAAAGUUAACCAGAUAAGUCAAAAUGAAGGUCGCCAUUGUCCUAUUUCUCGUGGUUGUUGGGAUGUUGGGUGCAAAUGGUCAAAAAGAAAAAGCGGAUGCUUUCACGGAAAUGGCUCUGCGCGGGGGCAACGCGGCAAUCUCACUUAUUGAAGCUUUGACCAAAAAUAUAAAUUGCCUAACGAACAUGUGCGCAUCCAUGCCAGGACAACGUCCAGGACAUGGUCCAGGACCCGCCGGAACCCCGCGGCCCGUGCAGCAUAGACCCUCCUCCAACGCAACAGCAGCCUAGAGCGUCUCAAGAGUUUGCUGCGGAUGGCAUCUUUCUUGACAAAAAUGAAUCUUGCUAUCACAAAUAAACUAUAGAAGCACUA